GUUAUUCGUAGUAUCUCCCAGGCUAUGACUUGUCUCUUCCUAACAGGGUCUUUGAAGAGCAUUUAAAAUUUUUUCAUAAUAUUCAAUUUAUUAUUUUUUUUCUUUAGUGGCUUAUGGUUUUAUACCCUAUUUAUAUCAUCUUUGCUGACACUAAAGUCACGUGGAUUUUCUUUGUUUUCUUCCAAAAGUAGUAUACUUUCAUUUUCAGUUUUAGACUCUUAAUUCAUUUUGUGUCCUCUUUUGUAUAUGAUGUGAGGGAAGGAAAGAUGCUUUUUUUUUUUUUUUUUUUACUUUUCCUUGUGGAUAUCUAAUUUUCACAGCACCAUUUGUGAAAGGUCUUUCUGUUCCCAGUUGAUUGCCUUGACACCUUUGUUUUUUAUAAAAGUAAUCAAACAGGUGCAGGUUUAUUUCUUAACUCUAUUUUUCCCAUUAAUCUAUGAAGAUGAUUCUUGUGCAAGGACUAUAUUACUGGAUAAAAACAGAUGGAAAGGAGAGUCAUGUUCUCACAUGGAAUUCAGCCAGGUUUUUGGGAUUGUUUCUGGUAAGAAUAUGAUGAAAGGAGCAAGAAGUUUCACUUCUCAGGAAUCUCCUUGGACUGAGAUGUUUGGUAGCUCAACACUAUUUCCCAACAAAGUAGCUAACCAAGGCUAUGGUUAUGACUUCAGUUAUCGUAUCAGAGGCCUGCUCAUUAGAAAUAAAAGAUGAAUGAACACCAUUCAAGUAAGUGAGUUAUUUGAUGAAUCACUUAUGGGAAUAAUCUUUGUAAAUCUAAGCUUUAGAAAAGUCUUUAUGCUGGAAAUACAAGUAUCCAAAAAUGAUUUUCUGUCUUUUCUUUUCCCUGGAAAUCAAAGCAUGUAGGGAGUAUUUCUUUAUACUAAUAUUCAUUUUUUUCUGUUUUUGCUAUAUCAUAUUUAUUGUAAAUUGAAACAAUGAUUGCUUAACAUUAUCAUCCAAAAGUGGUAAUGCUUCACCUUAUUGCAAUGUUCUUUUUAUAGCCCUGAAGGCAUAUUCAAGCAUUCAGUGUAAAAGAUGAACAGGGGAUCAACACAGCAAAGGACUAGAAAAAACAUAAAUGUAUUAUUGUCUCAGCUUAAAUAGAAAAAAAGCAUGUUGCAAAGAAUAGUCAUUCAUCCCUUGACAAAAAGAAUCUAAAUGAAUGUGUUUCCUUCUUUUCUAAAAUGAACACUAGUUUAUGAGUUACCUAAUCCUUUAAUCCAGAUUGAAAUCCUUUAAUCCUGCCAAGAAUAGCCCAAAAUGGGAGUUAAGAAAGGCAUUUCAAAUGAAUUCAUAAUUGUACCAAUAACUUUAUUUGGGGCAAUCCUGUCCUCAGUUGCUUUAUAGACCUUUAUCUGUUCCAGAUAAACAGAUAAACAAAUAAGAAAUAAGCAGCCUCAGAAUUAACAGUAGCAAUUGAAACAGCUAAGGAGGCAUAUUUCUUUUGUUUGCUACAAUAUCAAAUGUAUAACUCAAAUAUUAUAUAUUUAUUAUUUUUAUUCAUUGGUGUAUUUAGGGCUUCAGCAGUGUAUGUUUUGGGAAAAAUUAUUACAACUACUGAAAAUAACAUUAAUAGUGAUGAUUAAGAAUAAGAAAUAGG
rnacentral:lncRNA from 1 species